GCUGGUGGAGCAUCAUCAAGAUUCACAAGCUUUAAGGGGUGGAUUGUGUUUGGGGUGGUCCCUAAUUGCUCCAUAUCAAUUUGCUCUUUGAUUUGAGAAUCUUGAUGAUGCUGCAGUAGC
rnacentral:pre_miRNA from 1 species